rnacentral:rRNA from 1 species
GGGCCCGCACAAGCGGAGGAACAUGUGGUUUAAUUCGAUGAUACGCGAGGAACCUUACCCGGGCUUGAAUUGCAUCUGAAUGUAGUGGAAACAUUACAGCUAGCAAUAGCAGAUGUGAAGGUGCUGCAUGGUUGUCGUCAGCUCGUGCCGUGAGGUGUCGGCUUAAGUGCCAUAACGAGCGCAACCCUCAUCACUAGUUACCAUCAGGUCAAGCUGGGGACUCUAGUGAGACUGCCGGCGUAAGCUGUGAGGAAGGUGGGGAUGACGUCAAAUCAGCACGGCCCUUACGUCCGGGGCGACACACGUGUUACAAUGGAGGGUACAGCGGGAAGCUACCUGGCGACAGGAUGCCAAUCUUAAAAACCCUUCUCAGUUCGGAUCGGAGUCUGCAACUCGACUUCGUGAAGCUGGAUUCGCUAGUAAUCGCGCAUCAGCCAUGGCGCGGUGAAUACGUUCCCGGGCCUU